GGCUGGAUCACCUCCUUUUGAGCAUGACGUCAUUCGCCCUGUCGGGCGUCCUCACAAAUUACCUGCAUUCAGAGAUUCAUACCGGCACAGGCCGGUAUGCGAAAGUCCCUUUUGGGGCCUUAGCUCAGCUGGGAGAGCACCUGCUUUGCAAGCAGGGGGUCGUCGGUUCGAUCCCGACAGGCUCCACCAUAUUGAGUGAAAAGACUUCGGGUCUGUAGCUCAGGUGGUUAGAGCGCACCCCUGAUAAGGGUGAGGUCGGAGUUCGAGUCUACCAGACCCACCACUCUGAAUGUAGUGCACACUUAAGAAUUUAUAUGGAUCAGCCGUUGAGGCUGAGACAUGUUCUUUUAUAACUUGUGACGUAGCGAAGCGUUUGGAGAUAUCUAUCUAAACGUGUCGUUGAGGCUAAGGCGGGGACUUCGAGUCCCUAAAUAAUUGAGUCGUAUGUCCGUUGGUGGCUUUGUACCCACACAACACGUACAUGUAACUCCGAGGCAACUUGGGGUUAUA
rnacentral:tRNA from 1 species